GUGCAACUAGUCCUGGGUGAAUCAUCCUGCAGGCGUGGAUACAGCUGCCCUGCUGCCCCUUCGGCUGCCAGUACAGAUACAGACGUAGAACUGAAGCUCAGAGAAGCUGAGGGACGUGCCUAAGACUACAGAGCCAGGCAAGUUGCAGAACUGGGAUUAGAACCCAGCUCUGUUUGACUGCAAAGUCUGUUCCUGUCCCCCACUCCCCAUAAACUUCACUGCCCACUUUCCUCCUCCCUUCCUUUCUCCUUCCCACCACUUUGCAGAAUCAGAAUAUAUCAUAGAAGGAAAAAAAUAGCUUUUCCUGACAAGGCCUCUUCUUCUCAAUAUUAUUCUAAUGAGGAUAUUCUAACAGAAACUCUGGGGGCACAUUACAUCUCAUUAGACCCAUUUGAUGUCAAUUAUUAACUCCCCAGGUUAAUUUAACACAUACAAUGGCUAUCAGCUUACAUCCCUAGGCCCUGCUGAUGUAGGGCUUACAAGUAAACCAACUUCCCCCACAGAUAAUCCUAACUCUAGUAGCGAGUUGGCCUUCUGUUCUUGCUGUAAUACCAGAGUCAGGCAGGACAGCUUGUAAGUGUGCACAGGUUCAGGAAAAGGGCUCAGUCAACGGACCAGCAGCUUCGCCUACAAGUGCUUCUGCAAAGUGACAUCGAAGCGCGAUUACAUCUGCUAGUUUUGCUUCAGGCCACGAAGUAACAAACACAAUUGUUAUCAAGGAAUGAAUUGUGCAGAAGAAGAGCUUUGCCAUACUGUUUUCUCCAGGAAGCUGGUGAUGGAAAGAGAUGCUCCGUGCUCACGCCAUCCGCUCCUCGCCUCCUCCUCCAGCAACAGCACAGAGAAAGUCAGCAUUGGCUUCUUGAACGCUGAGCUCAUGAUUCUUUUCAUGGUUAGAUGCAGAUGCUCAAAAUUAAAUCUUUCAGAGACCUCAAACAAGGACGUUUCCCCCACCUCUGGAAAUCCCUCACUCAGCUUGAGUUGUUGUUGCUUCUGAAGGAGGCUUGUCCCCUCAGUGUUCCCCUCAGCUGCGCCCAGUGCCAUAGCUGGCUGGUCAAGAAGGGAUUUAAAGGGGCUCUAAGUCAGUGGGUUUCAAACUUGACUGUACUGUAGAAUCACCUGGAAAGUUUUAAACAAUACCCAUGCUUGGUACCACUGCCUGAGAUCCCAAUUUAGUCUGAGCACUUCUCUCUGCUAAAAAUUGGGCAGAAUUGAUCAUUUCAAGACUUAUUUUGGGAAUAAUUGUGCAAGAUUCCUGUUAAUGGGAUUUCUGGGAAAUCUGAAUGGACGCAAAGAGUGUGCGUGUGUGUGUGUGUGUGUGUGUGUGUGUGGUUGGGAGGGAGAGGGAAGUUUUAGAGGUCCCCUAACAUCAGUGUCCUCGCGAUGCUUCAGCCACAUUUCAUCCUUUCAGGUUGCAUGACUGCACACCUUCCCUUGCUGUUCCCUGUACCUGAAAACCUUUCUCUCCUGUCAUAGCCCCACUAGAGCCUUCUAUCUUGCUUCCUCCAGAAAGCCUCUCUGGGUCCCCUGGGCAGGGCUGGACCUCUGUUAUUCCCCCAAGGCAUUCUGGGCUUCUCCUUUAGAAUCCACGCCACAUGUUACUUGAUACCUAUUUCCACCCCCAAAUUAUAAGCACCAGGAGUACAAGAUCCUCCUCUGUAUUAGUCAGCUUAUAUCCUGCUGCCCAGCACUGUGCCUGGUACACAAUAAAUGGUCAAUAACCAUUUGCUGAACAAUUGAAUGUGGAUCAUUAUUUACUCCUCCCACUAUUUAGAUUGGAAAUGUCCUUGCUUCCAAUGGCCAUGCGACACCAGUGUCUAUAGGAUCCUGUAUUCCAGUGGUGGCAACCCGUUUGGUCUAUCUUCAAGGGCCCCUCUUGCUGGCCUUUGCCCUCUCUGUGUAAAGCAGGUAGCAGCAUACAGAGAUCAUCUCUGAAAGUCUGACCUCAGCUUGGGCUGGAAAGAGCACUGACAAGUCUAGAGAUGGGGGUUCAAGCUUGCCUCUCUUAAUAUAGUCUACUUGAGGGGUUGUGUGAAAGGUAUUUGAGAAAGCCUAUGGAAGUUCUAUUUAAGCAGCAAAAUGUUGAAUAAAUUGCGUUAGCCACCAUGUUCAGCACAGCGGCCCUUCUCUCAGGUCAGCACCUAAAGGACCUGCAGGCCCCAUUUAUUGGGUGCCCACCGACCUGUGAUACACAAGAACAUACUAAGGGUUGUCUGUACCCUGCAGGAACCACCAGUGUAGUCUCACCAUUUUGGGGUUAAAAAGUUAGCUACCCCAAGAGUCUGGAAGUUAUGAACAUCCUGUCUUCCUUGGGAUUAUAUCUCCUCGGGUACAUUUUACAUAGUAACUAUUUCACCUUGUAACUGUGUCUUUUCCUGGCCAAGUCACCUCCUACCUUUGAAACACCUUGUUUCUGAAUUAGAUGCAUACGUUAUUCACUCCUUUCUAUCUUAAGCACAUUUUUCAAUUCCUUUUACUCCAUCAGCCACCUGGGUCUGGACAGCCUGGGGUCAGGGUGGCAGCUGGCUUUGGAGGUGGUCAUCAGACUGCUGACCAGUUUUAUGUCCAAACUGAAAGAACUGAUCUCUCAGCAGAGUCAAAGAAGUUACGACAUCCUUUGGGCUAGAAUAAGGAGUCAAGCUUCACAUAGAAAUUUUGACACCCAGGAGUGGGUGCAAUUUUCUAGCUCUCCUCAAACUCCUCCCUCCUCCGCAAAGGCCCUCACUGGGAACAGAAUCCUUGACUUCCGGUGCCCCCAUCCUGUGCGUGAACCUGGCAGGAGUUCACUUAGGAGCACCAGGCUCCCCUCUCAGAAAAUGCCAUCAGUCCCAGCUCCUCCAAUGCCGUCCUGAGCAGUGCCUGGGAGGGCACUUCAUUUCUGUGAGCUUCUGUUUCCUCAUCUGCAAAUCAGGAGGAUGAGCUCCCUUGUCCACAAGGCCCCCUCCAUUCCUAACCCUAGUAAUAUGUAAUGACACUCGCACACCUAUGGCACUGAUUGAACAGACAGGGCUUUCCUUUUUUCUCUUUUUUUGACAAUAUUUGAAAUGAUAAAAAGACUAUUUUCUUUAUUCUUGGCUCUGAAAGGGUGAGACAAACCUCUAAUGUGUCUACUUAAAAGAAAGGAAAAACGUUAGCUCCUAGGAGAAUGUGAUAUAUAAACAUAUCACACUGCUUUAAUCUAUGCAAAAAUAUUCAAUUAUUCAUUGAGUUCCUAGUAGAUAGCAGACAUGUGCUAAAUAUUACACAGGAUUACUUAUGUACAUUCUUAAUCAGCCUUACCAUCCAAUUCUGUUCUACCUUACCACCCAAUCAGAGAAAGAAAAUCAUCCCUGAUGUGUACUAGAGGUAGGAUCUGGUGUAAACGUCACUGAGCCAGGAUUUAGGAGACCUCAGUACAGAGUGAACUACUUCUGUCUCUCUUUCUAGCUGGGACACGGCUCCCAUCCAAACAAAUUAAUUUCGGGCUCAAUCAUUGCAAUGGGUUCCUCCAAUCCUUUCCAGCUCUUAAAUUAUACCAUCUGCAAAAGACUGUUGCAAAAGAUAUCCACCUUCUUUAGCCAUUCUUUAAUUUGCAAUUCUUAAUGCAAAUUAAAACAAUAAGAUAUCACUACACACCUGGCACAAUAGCUAAGAUAAAUAUUGGCAACACCAAAUGCUGGAGAAGAUGAAGAUAAACUGGAUGCUUCCUACAUUGUUUGUAGACUAUAACAUGGUACAGCGCCUCUGGAAAACAGUUUGGCAGUUUCUUAUAAAACUAAACAUGCAUCUACAAUACAACCCCACAAUUGCACUCAUGCACAUGUAUUGCAGAGAAAUGAAAACAGGCUCAUACAAAAACCUGCACAUGCCUAUUCAUAGAUUUAUUCAUAUUAGCAUAAAAUAGGAAACAACCCAUAUGUUCUUCAGUGGGUGAAGGGUUAAACAAACUGUGAUACAUCCAUACUGUGGAAUAUUAUUCAGUGGUAAAAAGGAACAAACUAUCGAUACAUACAACAUCUUGGAUCAAUCUCCAGGGCAUUACACUAAAUGGAAAAAAACAAUGCCAAAAUGUUAUAUACUGUAUGCUUCCAUUUAUAUAGCAUGUUAAAAUAACAAAAUUAGAGAAAUGGAAAAUAGAUUAGUGGUUGCCAGGGAUCAGCGAUGGGGGAGGGGUGAAAUGGGAAGCUGGAUGUGGUAUAGUAUGUCAACAAGAGGAAUCUUUGUGGCGAUGGAAUUGUUCUGUAUCUUGACUGUAUCAACGUCAAUAUUUCGGAUAUCACACUUUAGUUUUCAAGAUGUUACCAUUGGGGGAAACUGGGUAAGGUUUACAGGUUAUGCAGUACAUAGGAUUUCUGUAUCUUAUUUCUUACCACUGCAUUUGAAUCUGCGAUCCCCUCAAAUAAAAAGUUUAAUUUAAAACAAAGACUAUUGCACAUUCUGAUUGUGUUGUGCUUCCUGGUUUCAGCUUCAGGCCUAGUAGAAAUUUGGAGGAAGGCUGGGGAAAAAUAG